GAGAGUUGGCCGAGUGGUUUAAGGCGGCAGUCUUGAAAACUGUUGAGGUGAAAGCCUCCGGGGGUUCGAAUCCCUCACUCUCC
rnacentral:tRNA from 1 species